GAUGGGAGGCAGGGAGAAGACAAGAUCAGUGCCGUCAGGGUAGGCUACCACUCACCCCUGUCACAAGUACAGCUUUAUAGUUAAGCCACUGAGACUUGAGACCGUCUUCUUGCCCACUCCACAGUCUAACCAAGUGUUCAAGCGGCAGCCUUUUACACAGUGGUUUAGGGCCAAGACUCCUCCCAUCUUGUGGCACCACCAUCUCCAACAUGUGACCUCCAAGGCUGCCACAGAAGGAGGAAGAGAGGACAGUGCCCUGCAAAGGAGAUACACCCCAUCUCCACCUUCCAUUGGCUCCCCUUCUCCAAGUGCAAGGGGGCUAAGAUGAGGUCCAUCUAUGCACUCAGGAUGGAGAAAAGGCACUGGCUCACUGAUGUUGGGUACUGGUGUUCUCUGCCAUGGUAUGCUGUCUGGAAAAGGCAAAGAGCUCUCUUGUUAUUAUCUGAGGAGACUAUGUCUCAGCUGAUCCUCCGACUGACAGAGAACCAGAUCACAUCUGGCUCCUCCUUACCUAUUGGCAUUUGCAAAGAAUUUCUCAACACUGAGCUAUGGUAGUAAUUGCAGUGACUGAGGCACUCAUCAUCCACUCCUCUAUUUGCUUCUAUCAGAAUCCCCCCAUAAAUGCAGCUGAAGAAGGAA